UAUUAUGUUGAAUCCAUACCUACUAAAACGAUAACCAUUCAUGUCCCACUCCUAAAACAUUGGGUAGAGGCAAAAUCCCCUCCCCCGCCCCUUUCUUCUUUCAGUCCGCAGUUAGACACACACCGACAUUUCACUCUACAAACUCACCUCAGUCCACAUUUCAAUUGAUUAGGUUUUGGUUUGAGGUCUUUAAUCGGGGAUUCGAUUAACUGCUUCUUCAUUCCGCGGAAUUAGGACUUCGAGUUUAUAUUUCUUUUAAAUUUGUUUACUAGCUUCUUCAUUUUGUUUUUCACUAUUAUGUUUUUGAUUUUGUGUCUAUAUUUGCUCAGGGCUUCGACUGAAUUGGGGCUUCUGUGGAUUUACAGCUUCAACAACUUUUCAAUUUAAUUGGGGCUUCGAUUUGCUUGGAUUUAAGAAACAUAGAAAGUAGGAAAAGCACUCUGAUAAUCUGCCUAGAAGUGCUAGUCCAGUAAUGUCAGCUGUGCUGCCUGCAGCACCACUGAACAUUUUCCCACAAGGACGAACAUCUGGAAGUAUUGCAAAUUUUAGCUAUAUGGAAGCCCGCGGAACUUCACAAAUUCAGAGAUCUUGGAAUCCAGAGGAAGCUCCUAACGUUAAGGGCUACGGUCUUGAUGAUGGGAAACAAAAGCUGGACGCUUUGAACUACUACUCCUGCAACAAUUCUAGGAAUGCUAUCAUCGCCAAUAGAGGUGUUCAUUCAGGGGGCAGUGGAAGAGUUGAAAUGGCUCAGGUCAUUGACCAGGACCAUGACAAUACCAUGGAGAAUUAUGUUGCAAAUAUCAGGGCACAAUUUAAAGUGGUUCCUAGGAGAUUUGGUCUUGGGGCCAUGGAAGUCCCCCCAGAGAUACUGGAAAGCGGUCACUUGAGCAGUGGUCUGCAGACUCUAUAUCAUGAACCAGCUGGUGCAACCGAGGACGUGAUACCAUCAAGCAGUCUCCUGAGUAGUGGGGUUGCAGACUCUGAACUGUCACCCGAACAAUGGCCUGCAGGCCCUGAACCAAGAAAAUGCUGGUGAUACUGCGAUAGCGAUGUAUGAUCUGGGAAAUCCAGUCAACAUGGACAGUCGCAGCUUUGGAGAAGGCACUAGUGCAAAUCAAGUGCUGGACGAUCUGCCUAGUGAGGAGGAAGUUAAUAAUAUGAUACAGGAUCUUGAAGCCUAUGAUUUAUUCGAUUGGAUAAAUUAAAACCAAGCAAAGGAGGAAUAUAGCGUAAGUUCGUUCUUUAAAGGCGUACUUGACUUGUCUGGCUGGCCCCAAAUGCUCAAGUUAAAUGAUUGACCUCAAUCUGGUUUUUGAGGAUCAUCUCCAAUGUCAUAAUGUGGAGUUCUCAAGUGCUUUGCCUUUCAAGGAGUACACACAUCCACAGAGCGGCUACUUGAACCUUGCUGUCAAGUUACCCGAGGGCCAUCUGAAGCCAGACAAAGGGCCAAAGCUGUGUACUGCUUAUGGCUUUUCCCAGCAACUUGGACGUGCUGACUGUCUCAAAACUCAGCUAUAAUUCAGAUGCGGUAUGAUCUAGUUUGUAAAUAGAGUGAAUAACUUUCACAAACAAUGAAGAAUAUGCUCCAAAUUUACAACCUCUCCUAAGUUAAGUUGUUUUUGAUUGUGCAAACAAUUUUGUUACCUAUGCAAUGUUAUAUCAAUGUAUAUCAUAGAAUCA